rnacentral:rRNA from 1 species
GAUGAACGCUGGCGGCGUGCUUAACACAUGCAAGUCGAACGAAGCACCUUAUUCUGAUUUCUUCGGAAUGAAAAAUUUGGUGACUGAGUGGCGGACGGGUGAGUAACGCGUGGGUAACCUGCCUCAUACAGGGGGAUAACAGUUAGAAAUGACUGCUAAUACCGCAUAAGACCACAGCACCGCAUGGUGCAGGGGUAAAAACUCCGGUGGUAUGAGAUGGACCCGCGUCUGAUUAGGUAGUUAGUGGGGUAACAGCCUACCAAGCCGACGAUCAGUAGCCGACCUGAGAGGGUGACCGGCCACAUUGGGACUGAGACACGGCCCAAACUCCUACGGGAGGCAGCAGUGGGGAAUAUUGCACAAUGGGGGAAACCCUGAUGCAGCGACGCCGCGUGAGCGAUGAAGUAUUUCGGUAUGUAAAGCUCUAUCAGCAGGGAAGAAAAUGACAGUACCUGACUAAGAAGCACCGGCUAAAUACGUGCCAGCCGCCGCGGUAA